GACGAACGCUGGCGGCGUGCUUGACACAUGCAAGUCGAGCGGGAUCCAACCGGUGGCAACACCGGGGAAGAUCUAGCGGCGAACGGGUGAGUAACACGUGAGCAACCUGCCCCGAAGGCUGGGAUAACACCGGGAAACCGGUGCUAAUACCGGAUGUCGUCAUUAGGCCGCAUGACCUGAUGAUGAAAGGAUUCAUCGCUUCGGGAGGGGCUCGCGGGCUAUCAGCUUAUUGGUGGGGUAACGGCCUACCAAGGCGACGACGGCUAGCUGGUCUGAGAGGACGACCAGCCACACUGGGACUGAGACACGGCCCAGACUCCUACGGGAGGCAGCAGUGGGGAAUCUUGCGCAAUGGGCGAAAGCCUGACGCAGCAACGCCGCGUGGGGGAUGAAUGCCUUC
rnacentral:rRNA from 1 species